CCACACUGGGAUUGGAACCCGGCCCCGACUUUUUCGGGAGGCAGCCCGUAGGGGAUUUUUCGCCAAUGGGGGGAAGUCUUCCGGGACCCCGCCCGCGUGAACUGAAGAAAGCCUUCCGGUCGGAAAGUUAUUUUUUUAGGGAAGAAAAGGUUCUAGUUUAAUAACUUGCCCCCUUGACGGUACCUACCCAGAAAGCCACGGCUAACUACGUGCCAGCAGCCGCGGUAAUACGUAGGUGGCAAGCGUUAUCCGGAAUUAUUGGGCGUAAAGCGCACGCAGGCGGUUUGUUAAGUCUGAUGUGAAAUCCCACGGCUCAACCGUGGAGGGUCAUUCGAAACUGGCAGACUUGAGUGCAGUAGAGGAAAGUAGAAUUCCAUGUGUAGCGGUGAAAUGCGUAGAGAUAUGGAGGAACACCAGUGGCGAAGGCGACUUUCUGGUCUGCGACUGACACUGAGGCGCGAAAGCGUGGGGAGCAAACAGGAUUAGAUACCCUGGUAGUCCACGCCGUAAACGAUGAGUGCUAAGUGUUAGAGGGUUUCCGCCGUUUAUUGCUGAAGUUACCGCAUUAAGCACUCGGCUUGGGGAGUAGGGCGGCAGGGCUGAAACUCAAAGAAAUUGACGGGGGCCCGCCCAACCGGUGGACCAUGUGGUUUAUUUGGUAGCAACGGGAGGACCCUUCCCAGGUCUUGACAUCAUAUGACAACCCUAGAGAUAGGGCUUCCCUUUCGGGGGUAGAGUGCCAGGUCGUGCAUGGUUUUGGUCACCUCGGGUCGUGAGAUGUUGGGUUAGGUCCCGCACCGAGCCCAACCCUAUGCUUUUAGUUCCCAUCAUUAAGCUGGGCACUCUAAGGAGACUGCCGGUGACAAACCGGAGGAAGGUGGGGAUGACGUCAAGUCAUCAUGCCCCUUAUGACUAGGGCUACACACGUGCUACAAUGGCGGGUACAAAGAGUAGCAACCCCGCGAGGCGGAGCUAAUCUCAUAAAACCGUUCGUAGUCCGGAUUGUAGUCUGCAACUCGCCUACAUGAAGUUGGAAUCGCUAGUAAUCGCGGAUCAGCAUGCCGCGGUGAAUACGUUCCCGGGCCUUGUACACACCGCCCGUCACACCAAGAGAGUGUGUUACACAAGAAGUAGGUGGGGUAACCU
rnacentral:rRNA from 2 species